GCCAGGCGUGGUGGUGCAUGCCUGUAAUCCCAGCUACUUGGGAGGCUGAAGUGGGAGGAUCGCUUGAACCAGGGGAGUUGAGGUUGCAGUAAGCCAUGAUCAUGCCACUGCAUUCCAGCCUGGGCAACAGAGUGAGACCCUGUUUCUA
rnacentral:sRNA from 1 species